rnacentral:rRNA from 1 species
UACAGAGCCCCCGAGCGUUAUCCGGAUUUAUUGGGCGUAAAGGGUCCGUAGACGCCUCAUCAAGUUUCUUGUUAAAUCUUCAGAGCUUAACUUUGAAGCUGUGAGAAAAACUAAUGAGGUAGAGGGCGUUAGAGGUUAGCGGAACAUACGGUGUAGGGGUGAUAUCCGUUGAUAUCGUAUGGAACACCAAAAGCGAAGGCAGCUAACUGGGACGACCCUGACGUUGAGGGACGAAAGUGUGGGUAGCGAAGAGGAUUAGAUACCCUUGUA